ensembl:piRNA 21ur-571 ncRNA
UAUUUUCGUUUUGCACCAAGA